GCUCCAGUGGCCUAGUGGUUAGAACAUCUGCCUCAGAUGUUGAAGAUCAUGGGUUCGAUCCACAACUGAAUCA